CUCUUGUAAGGGUCCUUGUUAGCCUUAGGCUUUUUGGUCCUCAGUACAUGUGGGUUACAAAAGCGCCCCUUACUGUGAAUAAACACGGUUCCAUCCCAGCACAGAUCAGUCCCUUCAGGAAGGUUCAACUCCUUGGCUGCAGUACUCCAAGAUUAAAAAGAUCUGACCUCUGCUAAGAAUGGGAUCUUUGCCCUCUUCACACAGUGCUGUUCCCAUGCCAGCAAUUCCUAACUGGUUUUAAAGGAGCUUAAGGACACAGGGACAAGGAGGAACACAGGACAGCAAUAGCCUGAUCCAUCACAGCUGAUCAAGUUAAGACUCUCCCUCUGCUUCUUGACCUGAGGACCCCCUCUUCAAUGGACUCAGAGCUAACCCCUCUAACAGAGACACUCAUCUGCAGAAAACAUCUAUUUUAUCCCCUGCAAAUUUUAUCCCUUCUAAGAGUUAAAAAUGAUACUUUCUUGUUGAAAGACUACACUUCCC
ensembl:lncRNA